rnacentral:rRNA from 1 species
AAGGGCACCACAAGAGCGUGGAGUAUGUGGCUUAAUUUGACUCAACGCGGAAAAGCCUAUUUGGUCCGGACACAGUGAGGAUUGACAGACAUGUCGUAUUGGUGGACUUUAUGACAAAAUGGUAAAGUUGAAGUUCUUUCAUGAUCUUGUGGUAGGUGGUGCAUGGCCGUUCUUAGUUCGUGUAGUGAUACGUCUGCCUAAUCGCGUCACGAUAAGCUAUUUCUCGACAAUCCAAAAAUCACGGCGGGAGGUUCUAUCGGUACGGGUUCCCAAAGUGUAGGCUAGAGACUUGAACAGUACGCAACGGACGUGAUCGUAAUCUCUUGUUAAAUGGUUAUCCUGUGAGCCAACCGUGACUGAUUACAGCACACCUGGUAUCAUCCAGACCAUUGUGGUUUAGUGGGUCGGGCUAGAUUUUGAAACUCGGGAAACAUCUGUGACUUUCUUUCUUUACGCAGAGGAAGGUUAUGGCAAUAACAGGUCUGUGAUGCCCUCAGAUGUCCAAAGCUGCACACGUACUACAGUGAUCGUAACACUUGGCGUUGUUGUUAGCUCCAUUAACGUAUUGAGUGGACUUGGUGUCGGGUGCUGGCCUCUGGUCAUGUGCUUUGAUUACUGAACACUUUAAACACUGGUCGUUAGACUUUUAGUGCAAUCCAUUUGCAGUAUCGAAUCGCGAAAAUGAGCAUUGUUUGCACCCGUUCUAGAGCAGUGGUUAUUCUAACCAUAUUUCCACUGCUCGCCUCUCAACUGUCAAUUCUUGGUGGGGACAGUCAGUUGUUAACUUUCUGACUCGUCUGAACCAGGAAUGCCUCGUACAGGUUGGUUCACCAUACCACCUGGAAUUAGUCCCUGCCCUUUGUACACACCGCCCGUCGCUUUUACCAAUGAACUACUUUGCGAGACUAUGGAACUUUGGAGCAUAGGAUUUGAACUGGCGAUGGGAAAUGUAUUCGAUCAACGGAGUUUAAAGGAAAAAGAAGUCGUAACAAGGCAGCCGUAGGUGAACCU